UGAGUUUCUACUUUUCACACCUUUUCCUUUGUUGUGCAUUUCACUCUUUCCAGUCCCCUUGGUAAUAUCACUCUCUCCAGUCCCCUUACUCAUACCACUCUCUAUCCAGUCCCUGUAGUCAUAUCACUCUCUCUCCAGUCCCUUUACUCAUACCACUCCCUAUCCAGUCCCUGUAGUCAUACCACUCUCUAUCCAGUCCCUGUAGUCAUAUCACUCUCUCUCCAGUCCCCUUACUCAUACCACUCUCUCUCCCUUCCCUGUAGUCAUAUCACUCUCUCUCCAGUCCCCUUACUCAUACCACUCUCUCUCCCUGUAGUCAUACCACUCUCUCUACAGUCCCUGUAGUCAUACCACUCUCUCUCCCUGUAGUCAUACCACUCUCUAUCCAGUCCCUGUAGUCAUACCACUCUCUCUUCAGUCCCCUUACUCAUACCACUCUUUAUCCAGUCCCUGUAGUCAUAUCACUCUCUCUCCAGUCCCCUUACUCAUACCACUCUCUCUCCCUGUAGUCAUACCACUCUCUAUCCAGUCCCUGUAGUCAUACCACUCUCUCUACAGUCCCUGUAGUCAUACCACUCUCUCUCCAGUCCCCGUAGUCAUACCACUCUCUCUCCCUGUAGUCAUAACACUCUCUCUCCCUGUAGUCAUACCACUCUCUCUCCAGUCCCUGUAGUCAUACCACUCUCUCCAGUCCCUGUAGUCAUACCAAUCUCUCUCCAGUCCCUGUAGUCAUACCACUCUCUCUCCAGUCCCUGUAGUCAUACCACUCUCUCUCCAGUCCCUGUAGUCAUACCACUCUCUCUCCAGUCCCCGUAGUCAUAACACUCUCUCUCCCCGUAGUCAUAUGACUCUCUCCAGUCCCUGUAGUCAUACCACUCUCUCUCCAGUCCGUGUAGUCACACCACUAUCUCUCUCCCUGUAGUCAUACAACUCUCUCUCCAGUCACUGUAGUCAUACCACUCUCUCUCCAGUCCCCGUAGUCAUACCACUCUCUCACUAGUCCCUGUAGUCAUACCACUCUCUCUCCAGUCCCUGUAGUCAUACCACUCUCUCUCCAGUCCCCGUAGUCAUAACACUCUCUCUCCCCGUAGUCAUAUGACUCUCUCCAGUCCCUGUAGUCAUACCACUCUCUCUCCAGUCCGUGUAGUCACACCACUAUCUCUCUCCCUGUAGUCAUACAACUCUCUCUCCAGUCCCUGUAGUCAUACCACUCUCUCUCCAGUCCCCGUAGUCAUACCACUCUCUCUCCCUUCCCCGUAGUCAUACCACUCUCUCACUAGUCCCUGUAGUCACACCACUCUCUCUCCAGUCCCUGUAGUCAUACCACUAUCUCUCCCUGUAGUCAUAUGACUCUCUCUCCAGUCCCUGUAGUCAUACCACUCUCUCCCCGUAGUCAUACCACUCUCUCUCCAGUCCCUGUAGUCAUACCACUAUCUCUCCCUUCCCUGUAGUCACACCACUCUCUCUCCAGUCCCUGUAGUCAUACCACUAUCUCUCCCUGUAGUCAUACGACUAUCUCUCCCUGUAGUCAUAUGACUCUCUCUCCCUGUAGUCAUACCACUCUCUCACUAGUCCCUGUAGUCACACCACUCUCUCUCCAGUCCCUGUAGUCAUACCAAUCUCUCACUAGUCCCCAUAGUCAUAGCAUCAUUACCGCUCCUGCAGUCAUUUUAGCCGCAAUCAACAAUCCCUUUCAAAAUUGUGCACUUUGCAGCGCAUUGAUAAAAUGCUCAAUUAUCGCAAAUAAAAUGGAUUCAAGUACAGAAGUGCCAACAAAACAGACACGUACUGUUCAGCUUGCUAGAUGCCAUCUUGCCUAAUCUUAUCUUUCUCUGCUUUGAUGACAGACAUUUACAUUUACGUCAUUUUGCAGACGCUCUUAUCCAGAGCGACAUACAUUUUCCAUACUGGUCCCCCUUGGGAAUCGAACCCACAACCCUGGCUUUGUAAGAUCCAUGCUCUACCAACAAAGCUACAAGGGAGGAGCGGCAGGAGUUGCUUAGACCAGUGGUGGAAAAACUGCUGUCCUUCAGGGUCACAGUCAAGCUAUUUGUCGUCUCUUCCUGGUACUCUCCCUGAUAUUGAUCAUUUCUCAGUACUUAUUAACCAUUAUAAACUGGCCAUAUACCACACCUCCUCAGGCCUUAUUGCGUAAGUGUCCAACACACCUGGCUGCCCAGAUUAAGGGGCAAGAAUGAAAGUCAGUAGACACUGAGGCCUGAGGGGGUACACCCUUUGAGUCCUUAGCCCAGAAAAGCAUGUGCAUAUCAUCUAACAAAGUGGUCACUAACCUUUCCUAGGUCAAGAUCACUUCCUGAGUCAAAAUACAAGCCGAG
rnacentral:lncRNA from 1 species